rnacentral:misc_RNA from 1 species
AAGUCGUAACAAGGUUUCCGUAGGUGAACCUGCGGAAGGAUCAUUAAUGAAUGAUAAUUUUUUGGGGUUUUCCCUGAAAAAUAAUUCACCUUUUGUGCAUUGUUAUUAGAUAUACUUUGGUCAGAGCUUUGAUUUCAUUUUUUGAAAUAAACUUCUUGCUGACUCUAUCCUUUCUGAGGACAGUUGGCUAUGAAGCGGCCUACCAGGGUUUUUAUCAAACUCUUGUAUUUUGUCUGACCUGUAAACAAAUAAUUAAAUCAUAACUUUCAACAACGGAUCUCUUGGCUCUC